rnacentral:rRNA from 1 species
GAUGAACGCUGGCGGCGUGCCUAAUACAUGCAAGUCGAGCGAACAGACGAGGAGCUUGCUCCUCUGACGUUAGCGGCGGACGGGUGAGUAACACGUGGAUAACCUACCUAUAAGACUGGGAUAACUUCGGGAAACCGGAGCUAAUACCGGAUAAUAUAUUGAACCGCAUGGUUCAAUAGUGAAAGACGGUUUUGCUGUCACUUAUAGAUGGAUCCGCGCCGCAUUAGCUCGUUGGUAAGGUAACGGCUUACCAAGGCAACGCUGCGUAGCCGACCUGAGAGGGUGAUCGGCCACACUGGAACUGAGACACGGUCCAGACGCCUACGGGAGGCAGCAGUAGGGAAUCGUCCGCAAUGGGCGAAAGCUUGACGGAGCAACCCCGCGUGAGUGAUGAAGGUUUUCGGAUCGUAAAACUCUGUUAUUAGGGAAGAACAAAUGUGUAAGUAACGAUGCACGUCUUGACGGUACCUAGUCAGAAAGCCACGGCUAACUACGUG